CCUGAUCUCAGAGAUCCACCUGUCUCUGUCUGCUGAAUGCUGGGAUUAAAGCCAUCAUGUCUGUGUAAAGAAAGCAAGAGUGCCUAAGGAGGUGACCUGGACUGUGAACAUCCACCCUGACCAGCCUGGAAGCCAACAGUUAAUCAUACAGCAGAAUCCAGAGAAAUUCAACAAGGGCCAUUAGGAGUGAAAGCAUGCAAACUAGAAGCUGAGGAGUGCUAUGUUGUGAAAUACUGUCAACUGGACAUGCUAUGGCUAUGGACACUCACGAACUGUGGAUAUCUACAGCUACAUCAAUACAGUGAUAAAAAUUGCAACAUUGAUAGAGGAGAUGGUGUCAAGGCUCCACCCAUUACUGAGGAGGUUUUGGCAGCUGAUAGCUGAUUUGAAAGGCACGUGGAUGGAACUAGAAGAAACCAUUCUGAGUGAGGUAACCCAGUCGCAAAAAGACAGAAAUGAGCCUUCAUCAGCAGCUGAUGGAAGCAGAAGAAGACACCCACAGCUAAACACUGAGCUGAACUCUGGAAUCCAGUUGCAGAGAGGGAGGAGUGAUGAGC
rnacentral:lncRNA from 1 species